rnacentral:rRNA from 1 species
AGAGUUUGAUCCUGGCUCAGGAUGAACGCUAGCGGGAGGCCUAACACAUGCAAGCCGAGCGGUAGAGUUUCUUCGGAAACUUGAGAGCGGCGCACGGGUGCGUAACACGUGUGCAACCUACCUUUAUCUGGGGGAUAGCCUUUCGAAAGGAAGAUUAAUACCCCAUAAUAUAAUGAUUGGCAUCAAUUAUUAUUGAAAACUCCGGUGGAUAGAGAUGGGCACGCGCAAGAUUAGAUAGUUGGUGAGGUAACGGCUCACCAAGUCAAUGAUCUUUAGGGGUCCUGAGAGGGAGAUCCCCCACACUGGUACUGAGACACGGACCAGACUCCUACGGGAGGCAGCAGUGAGGAAUAUUGGACAAUGGGUGAGAGCCUGAUCCAGCCAUCCCGCGUGAAGGAUGACGGUCCUAUGGAUUGUAAACUUCUUUUGUACAGGGAUAAACCUACUCUCGUGAGGGUAGCUGAAGGUACUGUACGAAUAAGCACCGGCUAACUCCGUGCCAGCAGCCGCGGUAAUACGGAGGGUGCAAGCGUUAUCCGGAUUUAUUGGGUUUAAAGGGUCCGUAGGCGGACUUGUAAGUCAGUGGUGAAAUCUCAUAGCUUAACUAUGAAACUGCCAUUGAUACUGCAGGUCUUGAGUAAAUUUGAAGUGGCUGGAAUAAGUAGAGUAGCGGUGAAAUGCAUAGAUAUUACUUAGAACACCAAUUGCGAAGGCAGGUCACUAAGAUUUAACUGACGCUGAUGGACGAAAGCGUGGGGAGCGAACAGGAUUAGAUACCCUAGUAGUCC